AUGUUUCUUUAUUUGUCAACUUUGUUUCAUUACUUUAGUCCAAUGGGCUUGUACAUCGAAACAUGUUUACAGAAAAAAUAAAAAAGAUUCAGUACAAGAUAAACCCAAAACUUUAAUCGACUCCAUAUUUUUCAUCAAGUCCACAUGUUGACGGCAAGAGCAUUUCUGUGACACGUGUAAUAACACGUGGUCAUCAUGCAGUAUCAACAAUUUCUUCCACCGCCAGUGUUCCUCCAUCGUAAGCUCCUCCGAAGUCGAUCUUCUGUAGUUUGGUUCCUUGUCUUUGAGACGAUUUGAUCCCGCUGCAAAAUCAUCCUUGCUUCUUCGACGUCAAUUGAUUGAACUCUUGCUAUUUCAGAUGUUAAUAAAGUGAUCACUUAGUCGAUACAAAAGAAGAUCUUUUGUUGGACCGCUAUGAGGCGCCAAAUUCAGCUAAAUCUCCUAUGAGAAAACUGGAUUGGAUCUAUCACCAUCUCAUCCUUCCCUUCGGAAAGCUUCUCCUUGUUACCCACUUUUCCAGGGAACCUUCAAACCGGUGAAGCUGAUAUCCUAAAGAAAAGAACUAGAGUACAUCGUUAGACCAUCUCCAAUGGGACUCCAUUUUUUCCUCUAACAUUUACACCAAAACAGAGUAACUCUAUUAGAGUAUCUCUAAAAACACUAUAACUUCAAAUAUGAAGUUUUUUGUCCUUUAAAACGAAAUUUCAAAACUUCAAAUUUUGAAGUUUUGAAGUAUGAAACUCUAUAUCUGAAGUUUCACUAUCCAAAACUUCAAAUUUGAAGUUUCAUAUUAUUAUUGCAUUUUGAUCCCUACAAUUAUACAUUACAUUUAUAAUUCUCAAAUAUUUUAAGUUUUAAUACUUAAAAUUUUUAUCUCAUGAAUAUUUCAAAUUGUUUUUAUAAAUUUAAGUUUUAUACAUAAAACCUUAAAAUAAUAUUUAAAAUAUUUUAACAACAACAAUACACAAAAGAAACUUAACAUUUUUUUAAAGUUACAUGAAGAUAUAACUAUUACAAAAAUUUAAAUAUUACAAUAACACUAAUAGUUAGGUAAAUUUGAUCAGGAACAUCCAAAAUUUCCUAAAUAUUGUCCAAAAGUUUUUGUGUAGCCGAAAAAGGUUGUUGUUGUUUUUUUAUGUCUUUUCGUCUGAUUCUUUCUUGUUCAGAUUGAAUGUAUUCACGAGUAUUAAUAUCAUCGUUAGAAGUUAAAUAUUUUAGCAUUACUUUAUAUUCCUCUUACUUUCUUCUUCAGAUCUAAUGUAUUUACAAGUAUUAAUAUCACCCGAUUUCAACAAGUUUUAGCUCGUAAUUUACAAAUUAAAAUGAAAAGAAUCAUUUUUUACUUUGAAAUGAACUAGUUGAUCAUAUAUGAAUUACAUAAAUAAUUUUAUGGAAUGAUAUGGUGUUUUACUUAAAGUUUAAUACUAUUAGUUAUGUUAUUUAUAUUUAAAAUUUUAUAUUUUAAUAUAAUAUUUUAUUAAUUAAUAUUGUUUUAAUCUUUUUAUAUAUGUGCUAGUUAUUUACAAAACAAUUAUGAAUACAAAUUAAUUAUGACAAAUAUAAAGACCAUAGUAUAAAAUAUAAAUAGUUUUAAAGUUAGUUUUGAAGUUUUGCUUUUGGAGUAGAGCACCUUUAAACUUCAAAUAUAGAGUUUUGGAAACUUCAAAAUAGAGUGUCUUUUUGAAGAUGCUCUUAUGGAGUAACUUUUGCUCCAAAUGUACCGGCCCUGGGCGGAAGCGGUACAAGCAUGUGCUUCCGGCCCGUUUUACAAUAUCUAAAAUAUCGGCCGAUUGUUUGGGUAAAGCGUCAGUAGCAUAGUUGGUAAAACGUUGUUGUUUUACUAACAUAAGGUGAGUGGUUCGAAUAUCAUGUGCUAUAAUAUUUUUUUUAAAAAUGAAUAGGCCCAUAAUGAUUAUUUGCUUCCAGCCCAAAGUUUUCUCAGACCGGCACAGGCUCCAAUGGUGUUACUCUAUAAUAGAGUUACUCUAUUAUAGAGUGAAAUAUAGAUGAAUUUCACUUUUCCACUCAGAGUAAAAUAUGACAUUCUUCUAUAUUUCACUCUAAAAUAGAAUAACUCUAUGAUAGGGUAACACUAUUGGAGCAAAAGUUACACUAUAAUAGAGUUACUCUAUUUUAGUUUAAAUUAUAGAAAAAAAUAUAAUCUUAUUGGAGAUGCUCUUAAUAGAAAGAUAAUCAAGCAUUGACAGUUUGGGAUAAAGUUUAAACACUCGAAAGAGGUACAAGGCAAAACGAAACAAAAAGAUCGCCACCGCGAAGAUUAUAAUCCGCUAGACGGAACUUCUAAUCGAUCCAUAGAU
rnacentral:lncRNA from 1 species